AACAGUAGUUGCUCUUGUCAUUAUCUUAUUUAUUUAAUUAUUUAUUUAAACAAAUAUUUGAUAAAUAAUUUUAUAAAAUCCAAAAUUCAUUUUUGGGUAAUAAAAUUAGAUUAUACAUUUUAGUAUGUAAUUUUCGGAUUUUUUUUAAGUGUUGUUUUGAAAAAAAUCGAUUUCUUUAAAUAAAACCGAAAACUUUAAAUAUUUAAAAUAUUUUGUUAAAUCUUAUAAAAUCAGAUUUUUAUGAGAUUUAUAUUGAGUUAGAAAGUAUGGGAUUUUAAUUGAUUUGGCAAGAUUUAACAAUCUCUUUAAAAUCAAACAAAAUUGAUUUUAGGAAAGAAUUUUUAAAGGGAAGAGUUUUUAUAAAAAACAAAAAAACAAAAAAAUAUUUUUGCUGCAUUCUACAGCUGCUGCACGCAGCUUUGUAGGAUGUUGCAAAAUUUUUAAAGUUCUUUUGCCCUAAUUUUAAUAAUUCAGGAAAGUUUUACCUCUUUUCUACCCUAGUUUACACUAUAAAUACCCCUCUAAUCCUUCACUUUCUCUUCACAAAAAAAUAUUGAGAGUUCCUUAUAAAGUUUUCCCUAAAGUGAGUGGUCUCUUUGAGUAGUUUUAGUUUUUCACCGAGGAGUUUUAGCGGGAGGUUUUGAGGAUUUCGUUCGUGAACAUUCCCUUACUAGUUGAUUUUCUUAUUUCGUGAAUUAUCAAGAUGCUUGAGUUUGUAAGGGAUACUUACUAUGAUGCCGCCUAUUUUAAGAGGCAUUAUCACACUAUAGCAUUCUUUAUUCAAGGAAUUCAUCUUUAUGCGAAGUUCUUAGUUUCACAAGGAAGAAGAGAAAUGAGGACUGACCCUUGGAAAAUUCUUCUAACUCUUAUUCACUUACCUAGAAUUCCAAAGUAUGAAAAUCUUUUUAGGAAAUAUGAGGAUGUACUAUUGAAUGAAAAUGAGUGGAAUAAGCAUGAACACGUGCAUGAAGGGGUAUGGAUAGCUGAUAUGUUGA